rnacentral:rRNA from 1 species
UACGGAGGGGGCGAGCGUUAUUCGGAAUUAUUGGGCGUAAAGGGCGCGUAGGCGGCCUUGUAAGUCAAAGGUGAAAUCCCUCGGCUCAACUGAGGAACUGCCUUUGAAACUGCAAGGCUUGAGGCCGGGAGGGGGUAGCGGAAUUCCCAAUGUAGCGGUGAAAUGCGUAGAUAUUGGGAGGAACACCAGUGGCGAAGGCGGCUACCUGGACCGGUUCUGACGCUGAGGCACGAAAGCGUGGGGAGCAAACAGG